GUUUGCUUCGGCAGUACAUAUACCAAAAUUGGACCGAUACAGAGAUUAGCAUGGCCCCUGAGCAAAGAUGACACACAAAUUCAUGAAGCAUUCAUAUUUUUA